rnacentral:rRNA from 1 species
AGAGUUUGAUCCUGGCUCAGGAUGAACGCUGGCGGUGUGCCUUAGGCAUGCAAGUCGAACGGGAUAGCAAUAUCCAGUGGCAGACGGGUGAGUAACACGUAGGAAUCUACCCAGUAGUGGGGAAUAGCCCACCGAAAGGUGGGGUAAUACCGCAUACGCCCGCAAGGGGAACGACGCAAGUCGCUAUUGGAGGAGCCUGCGCAUUAUCAGCUAGUUGGUGGGGUAACAGCCUACCAAGGCUACGACGAUUAGCCGAUGUGAGAGCAUGAUCGGCCACAAGGUUACUGAGACACGGAACCUACACCUACGGGUGGCAGCAACCGGGAAUUUUGCGCAAUGGACGAAAGUCUGACGCAGCGACACCGCGUGUGGGAAGACGCUCUUCGGAGUGUAAACCACUGUGGCGAGGGAGAAAUUCUGAUAGUACCUCGCUAGAAAGCACCAGCUAACUACGUGCCAGAAGCUUCGGUAAUACGUAGGGUGCAAGCGUUAUCCGGAUUUAUUGGGCGUAAAGGGUCCGUCGGCGGCUUGUUAAGUUCUUUGUCCAAUCCUGGGGCUCAACUCCAGAUCGGCAGAGAAAACUGGCAAGCUAGAGUCUGUUCGAGGAAGCUGGAAUUCUUGGUGGAGGGGUGAAAUCCGUAGAUAUCAAGAGGAACGCCGCGCGCGAAGGCAAGCUUCUAGGACACGACUGACGCUCAGGGACGAAAGCUUGGGUAGCAAAUGGGAUUAGAGACCCCAGUAGUCCAAGCCGUAAACACUCCUUGCUAGCUGUUCUGUCUUUAUGAUGGAAUGGCGUAAGCUAACGCGUUAAGCAAGGCGCCUGGGGAGUACGGCCGCAAGGCUAAAACUCAAAGGAAUUGACGGGGGAGCGCACAACCGGUGGAGCAUGUGGUUUAAUUCGAUACAAAGCGAAAAACCUUACCCAGAUUUGACAUGUACCUGCACGGCUAUGGAAACAUAGCUUUCUUCGAGAGUGGUACACAGGUGAUGCAUGGCUGUCGUCAGCUCGUGUCGUGAGACGUCUCUUUAAGUAGAGUAACGAGCGCAACCCCUACCGUAUGUUACAAGUGUCAUACGGGACUGCCCCGAUUUUUAUCGGGGAGGAAGGAGGGGACGAUGUCAAGUCAGCAUGUCCCUUACAUCUGGGGCUACACACAUCCUACAAUGGAGCCGACAACAGGUAGCAACGGGGUAACCCUGAGCCAAUCCCUAAACGGCCCCUCAGUUCGGAUUGAGGGCUGCAAUUCGCCCUUAUGAAGCCGGAAUCGGUAGUAAUCGCAAAUCAGCAGGUUGCGGUGAAUUCGUUCUCGCUCCUUGUACACACUGCCCGUCAAGCCAGCAAAGUCAGCAACGCCCGAAGUGGGUGACCCUAACCGCAAGGAUGGGCCCCCCUACGGCGAGGUUGGCGAUGAAGACUAAGUCGUAACAAGGUAGCCGUA